UUUCUGCUUUGAGAUAAACAGGCCAGAUUCUGAUCCUUAUAAAAGUUUGGGAGGGGGCAUGUGAUUUUAUUAAGGUAAUCAGCUUUUCUGUGAUCUCUGUACACAGUUAAUUAUGUUAAUUUUAAAGCUUUUGCAGUAGCCUGAGAAUUCUGGAGUAUAUGACAUUUUACUUUAAGGAUGAAGAUAGUGGAAUAUCUCCAUGAAAGGAUCCAAAAUGCAGUGUGAAAAUUUUGUUAUGCUGAACUAUAGCUAAAGGCUGUGGACAGACUUGUCUUUAUUCUAGAGCAGGCAGCAUUAGGCAGCAGUUUCAUUAAAUUUUAGAGCUAAAAUAGGGUUAGGGAUUUGCUUUUCUCAACUACCUUUCCCUAGCCAUCCCUAUCACAACUUCUUUUACUACUGCCCACUUUCUAAAUUGUAAAGCUUGAUAUAGUGAUCUACCAAACAGUGUAUAGCUGGAAUAACCCUAAAUAGGGACCUAAAGCCAGUUCUAAGCAUGCACUUUUGUCUCCUUGGUUCAUUAAAUCACGUGACCUCUCCAGGUCUUGGGCCUCUGGUACAAUGUGGAAAUAGAGCUUGAUUAUCUCUAAGAUGCUUUAAGACCAAGACCAUGGCUCUAUAAGUUCAACCUUAUGCAUUCUUUUCUCUGGGAGAUUCCUGGCAUCCAUUUGCAUGACUUCUUCCAAGAAGAGAAGACCCAGAUGAAUCAAAAGGAUUGAUAUGAUGUACUCCAAUUAAAUGAACAAAAGUUGUUUCUUAAACUUUUUGAUCCUUAGCUUUGGUUUAAGGUCCUUAGCUUCCCUGGUAGCUCAGCUGGUAAAGAAUCCACCUAUAAUGGUUUGAUUCUCGGGUUGGGAAGAUCCCCUGGAGAAGGGAUAAACUACUUACUCCAAUAUUCAUGAGCUUCCCUGGUGGCUCAGGUGGUAAAGAAUCUGCCUGCACUGCGGGAAACCUGGGUUUGAUCCCUGGGUUGGGAAGAUCCUCUGGAGGAGGGCAUGGCAACCCACUCCAGUAUUCUUGCUGGAGAAUCCCCAUGGACAGAGGAGCCUGGCAGGCUACAGUCCAUGGGGUGGCAAAGAGUCAGAUACGACUGAGCGAAUAAGCAUAUCACAAGGUCUUUAGAAAAUAUAAGAGGGAAAUCAAACACAACUGUUGAAACACAGCACGAGAACCUAAAAGGUCUUAGAAGAAAUGCUGAGGAGGAGAGGAAGAUUGGGUUAAAGGGAGAAUUGAAGAGAGAAAAGAAUGAACUGAGAAAGUGAACAUUUCAUGGUUUAAAGUUGUUAUGUAAAUUGAACAUCAACUUCUUGUUUAAUCCAGUAAAUGUGUUUAUGUGCCAGGCCUAUCAUCCACUUAAUCACUGAACAAAUAUUUAUUGAGCACCUGCUAUGCUUCUGAUGGAGAAGGCAAUGGCACCCCACUCCAGUACUCUUGCCUGGAAAAUCCCAUGGACGGAGUAGCCUGGUAGGCUGCAGUCCAUGGGGUCGCUAAGAGUUGGACACGACUGAGCAACUUCACUUUCAUGCAUUGGAGAAGGACAUGGCAACCCACUCCAGUAUUCUUGCCUGGAGAAUCCCAGGGACGGGGGAGCCUAGUGGGCUGCUGUCUAUGGGGUCGCACAGAGUCAGACACGACUGAAGUGACUUUUUUUUUUUUUUAAUGCUUCUGAUACUCUACAGGCCCUAAGGAUACAUAGAAAGCAAAACCAGAUGUGCCUCCUUGAAGCUCAACAGUCUAGAAUGUCUCUUUUAGGUAUUGUCUGAUCCUCCCAAGAAGCAUCCAGGUGAUAAGAGAGGAAAGAACAAAGGUGUAUCAAACCUCUAUGACCGAAGGUAGAAUAUAAUAAGUACUAUAAAACAUACAAAAAGUAAUAUGAUGGUAUUAAUAUUAGGGAGAGAAACUUCUUCCAAUUAAUACUUGGGAGAAUUUCAUGGUGGUAAUCUUUGAACUGGAUCCUGAAGGCUGCAUAUAAUUUUGAUAUGUUAGAAAGAGAAUGGGGAGAGGAAGGCAUUUCAAUAGGGGGAACCAUUGUGGGCAAAGGCUGAGAUCAGAAAGUACUCAGUGAAAGGUAAAAAUUUUAGGUGUCCAAAACACUGGCUAUGGGGGCUUCCCUGGUGGUCUAGUGUUUAAGACUUUGUGUUCCCACUGCAGGGGGCACAGGUUUGAUCUCUGGUGUGGGAAUUUAAACCCCACAUGCUACAUGGUGCAGCCAAAAAAAAAAAAAAAAAGAAUAACAACAAAACAAACAAACAAACAAAAACUGGGGACAAAUUCUACCUCAAUAAAAUUGUUUAAAAAAAAAUAAAACACUGCAUAUGUACAGAUUGAAUGAAGAAAAGUAAUUCCUAGAUUCAAAUAAUCAAACUUUUCUUGAAAGAAUAAACAGAUGUCUAUGAUAUGUGAAUGUCUGAUCCUACUUAAUGCAAACAGUAUUUUCAUGGGCUAGUCUGAACAGCACUCAGUAAAAUACUUUUCACCUCACUGAAGUAAGUGAGGUAAAUAAACAUGACAUGCAGCCAGCUGAAUGAAUAUUCAACUCAUUGCAUUUCUCUGUGGGUCAUGAGUGAUUCUAAUAUUGAUCCUCUGGACUCACAUGCUUUCUGAUGGCCUGUAAGAAGCAGUGGUCAUAGGAGGGAUCCUUUGGGGACAUUAAGCAUAGAAGAAUCUCUUCAAUCAAACACAUCAAGCCUUUAAAAAUACAGCUUCUAUCUCUUUCUUCCAUCAUGUCAGGGACAUACAGGUACAGUGCAGAGCCAGGUUGAAGGAUAUCAUUUUUUCUAAUAGUCUCUCUCUUCUUUGGAACAAAUUGGUAAAAUUUUCUUUCACAGAGUCAAAGGAUUACAGUUGCUAUUUAUCUUGUCCAGUAAGGCAUCCACUCUUGCCACUUCUAGCCUCUCAAAUAUUGUCCUAAGUCUUGGAAAAUACUCAUACAGCCUCCCAAAGACCAUAGAACCCAGUAGGAAGACCUAUUUAUAGCUCCAAAUGUAACAUGCUCAAACCUCAAAGAGAUUUGACUAGAUAAGGAUGCUGCUUCCUUUUGCAUUGCAUGGGCUGAGGGCAGGGACACAGGGACUCACCAUAUGGCCUUGUACUCUCUUUGAUCUGGACGUUCUCCCAUCUUUUCACUUGAUUGUGAGAUUCUGUGCAGAGGAGACCAUGUUCAAGCCCUCAUAGUGCCUGGUAUAUAGCUGAUGCUCAACAAAUAUUUGUUAACAUCACAUUUAAUGUUUCUGUUAUAUUCUUCAAUAAACUGUCCCCAAAUGUUUUCAAUUUAUGAAUGACAUACCUUAGGCAUCUGAGAUUCAGCUAUGGUUCUCCUAUGGAGGAAUUACAGAGUUUGCUGAUGAAAGUAAGUCUCUGUACUAAGAUGUUUUACUCUAGGUAUAGAGUUACUUGACUAUUUUUAGGUUGCUUACUCAUCCUGUUAUUUUAAAGAAGGGAAAAAAAAAAAACUGACACAAAUAAUACAAUUGUCUAACAGGGAUAGAUUUGAGAAAAAAUAUACUUUUCAAAAGUAGAGAAAGAUUGGAUGAUUCAUUUAACUUUUCCCCUCAACAUCCUUUUCUACACAUGUUAAAAAUUAUACUAGCUUAAAAAAUGAAAUAUUUUAAAAGCCUCCCCACCCACAAAAAAAGGGAUAAGACUUUAGCCCUCAGAGUCACAGGAUUUCAUUGCUUUCUACAUAAACACUGCUUGAAUUUCACAAUCUUCUACUCUGAGGUGCUGCUAUUAACAAAAUACAAAAUUAGGCCAAGAAAAGUGAGUUUUGCAGCCUAGGAAAAUUGGGGGAGGUCGGUGCGGCUGUAGAGAUAAACUUCUCAUCUGUGCCUGCUUUACAUCCAGGUCUAUUUCUUAUCUUGUUCAGUGCUCACUGGGUUGUUGCAAAGCAAGAGCUCACUGUUACACAUCAAAAUCCAACAGGGAAAAAGCCACCAGAUAAAAUAAUACUUCUAAAGAUAGGGCCGGUGAAUUAUUUUCCUUCUCUGUUUUCUCUCUUUACUUCCUAUAGAACUGCUCUCAGAGAAGAUUAUGAUAAUGACAUAGUUAAAAGUCCAAGGUUUUAAUAAAAUUCCUAGGUUUUCAUUUACCCUCUUUAUUCAAAACUUAGCAGUAGACUUUCCCCGUCCAUUUAUCAGAAAUCUUUGAAUUCUCCAAAGUUAAAAUCAUGGAGCUUAUACUAUCAUAGGACAGUAUUUCCCAAUCAUUCUCUUGCAGACAGUGUCAAAGGUGAGGACGAUUGGAACCUGUCCCCAUGACAAUCAGCUGGGAGCCUCAGAGAGAGUCCUCACUGUAGUAAAAUCCAAUGUUUCAAAAACAGAAGUGGAAACAGUUCUAUUGAAGCACUGCCAGCUUCACCCUUGCACACAAGCUUUGAUGUUGUCAGGGACAUGAUACAUGCUCCACCUUUGAGCCCUGGUUAAUGCUACUAUACUAGGUUCCUCGAUCACCCAAGAAAUUUCCUCCCAAACCAGAAUCUGGAACCAUCAGUUGAUAGUCAGGGGUCUCCAAACAGAACGCUAAGGGGACCUCUUAUCCUUGUGUCAGCAGGACAGAAGCAGUCAUCUGCCUUUGGGACGUCAUGGGGAGUUGGAGGUAUGGAUCUAUAGCAGCAACAGCAGUGAGGAGGAGAGGUAUAAGACAGCUUUCUCAGCAGAAAGAUCCUAAUAAAAAUCCAAGACCAAGGAAUUCUGUUGAUGUUGUUUAGAAGUGUUCAUAGGACCAUUGCCUUUCUGACAUAUAAUCACUGAUAUAAAGAAAGCUGAGCACUGAAGAAUUGAUGCUUUUGAACUGUGGUGUUGGAGAAGACUCUUGAGAGUCCCUUGGACUGCAAAGAGAUCCAACCAGUCAAUCCUAAAGGAAAUCAGUCCUGAAUAUUCAUUGGAAGGACUGAUGCUGAAGCUGAAACUCCAAUCCUUUGGCCACCUGAUGUAAAGAACUGACUCAUUGGAAAAGACCCUGAUGCUGCGAAAGAUUGAAGGCGGGAGGAGAAGGGGAUGACAGAGAAUGAGAAGGUUGGAUGAUAUCACCAACAUGAUGGACAAGAGUCUGAGCAAGCUCCAGGAGUUGGUGAUGGACAGGGAAGCCUCGCCUGCUGCAGUCCACGGGGUUGCAAAGAGUCAGACACAACUGAGUAACUGAACUGAACUGAUAAACCCACCAACUCUGUCAAAUGUUUCACUUGUGCCAAACAAA